rnacentral:misc_RNA from 1 species
UUUCCGUAGGUGAACCUGCGGAAGGAUCAUUAGUGAUUUGCCGUGGUGGCGUAAAGACCCGCGAGGCGGUCCCCGGACCCCCUCGUGAACCAACCAAAACCGUGAACCCGUCGGCCUCGGCCGUCAACCCUCACACGCAUCUGAAAGGUACGGAAAGUGACAAAACACAAACAGUUAAUACAACUGUCAGCAACGGAUCUCUUGGCUCUCGCAUCGAUGAAGAACGCAGC